UUGGGACUAUGUAAUUGGGAGC
rnacentral:piRNA from 1 species